CCCAGCCUUCAAACAAUUUCUCUUGGAGGUUUCUACAGAAAUAGAUCUUCUGAAGGGAAGAGAAAGAACCCUGAGAAGCUGUGAACCAUUUUACCUGUCAGUGCUGGCACUUUUGAUGCUGCUCUUUUCCAUUCCAUCUUCUUUCUGUUCUGAUUUCCCAAUGAAUGGCAUUAGUUGAAUGCAGAUGCGGCUUCUACCAACCAAAUAUCAACUCUGAAGAAAUUAUCUGAACUCUCUAAGUGUCUUGCACAGUUCCAAAGUUCCACAUCUGGCGCUACCUCUGAAUCUUCCAUAGGCUGCUUCAAACUGUAUUUCUGAUCCUGCACUGAAAAAGGGAAAACAGCGCUAUCAGGUUAAAUGCCAUCAUCAGCUGUUUGCAUCAAUUUGCAGACUCAGCACAGGAUUUUCUUCAGGGAGGAUUCCUAGUGCUACCCUGGWGUAUUCAUUCAACCGGUCAUUUACUGCUUCCUAAUAUUCAUAAGGUUCAUAAUAUUCAGUAUGCUGGAUUAUGUUGCAAGUUUAGAGUCAUUAAAGAGUCCUCUGUGGUAGAGAAUUAGGUAUAAUGUUCUGCUGUGUCUUCUCACCCUUUGUGGAGGUGUGUGAGUAAAAUCCCAGACCUGUCACAU